rnacentral:rRNA from 1 species
UAGGGAAUUUUGCGCAAUGGGGGAAACCCUGACGCAGCGACGCCGCGUGAGUGAUGAAGGCCUUCGGGUUGUAAAGCUCUGUCAAGAGGGACGAAUGACCAUAGUUCUAACAGGACUGUGGAGUGACGGUACCUCUGGAGGAAGCACCGGCUAACUCUGUGCCAGCAGCCGCGGUAAUACAGAGGGUGCAAGCGUUAUUCGGAAUUACUGGGCGUAAAGCGCAUGUAGGUGGGUUAGUAUGUCAGUUGUGAAAUCCCGGAGCUUAACUUCGGAAUGGCAAUUGAAACUGCUAAUCUUGAGAUUGGGAGAGGAUGGUAGAAUUCUUGGUGUAGAGGUGAAAUUCGUAGAUAUCAAGAGGAAUACCUGGGGCGAAGGCGGCCAUCUGGCCCAAGACUGACACUGAGAUGCGAGAGCGUGGGUAGCAAACAGG